rnacentral:rRNA from 1 species
UACGUAGGGGGGCGAGCGUUUGUCCGAAGUUACUGGGCGUAAAGCGCGCGUAGGCGGUUCUUUUAAGUCUGAUGUGAAAGGUUCACGGCUCAACCGGAACAGUGCAUUGGAUACUGGGGGGACUUGAGUCUGGAAGAGGAAAGCGGAAUUCCUGGUGUAGUGGUGAAAUGCGUAGAUAUCGGGAGGAACACCGGUGGCGAAGGCGGCAACCUGGUCCUUUACUGACGCUGAGGCGCGAAAGCGUGGGGAGCAAACAGG